rnacentral:rRNA from 1 species
UCCUUCUGUUUAUUUAUUUAAGGUCUGACCUGCCCAAUGAGGAAUAGAAUGGCCGCAGUAUUUUAACUGUGCUAAGGUAGCAUAAUCAUUUGUCUUUUACUUGAGGGCUGGAAUGAAAGGUUGGACGAGAUAUUAACUUUCUUUAGUUUAAUUAUAAGAAUUUAAUUUUUUAGUUAAAAGCUAAAACUUUAUUUGUUGGACGAGAAGACCCUAUAGAUCUUUAUAAUUUUAUACUUUAAUAGUGUAGGGAAUAUUCUUUUUUGAAGUAAAUUAAUUAUUUUGUUGGGGUGACUGUAGAAUUUAUUUAACUUCCA